AUCCUGCUGGUGAGUCAUGGGACUUUGUGGAAAGCUCCAUUCCUUCCCUUAUCUCCGUUGUUGUUGCCAGAGUCUUCAUGUUUACAACUGGACAGCUGAACAUCUGUUGUGACGAGUACUCCACCCUUUGCUGUGAGACAGACUCAUUCACUCAGAGGUUUCCUAUCACGGUCUGAGUGACUGGAUUCAGAAAGCAAAACGGAGAGGAUGCAAACAGCUGUCCAACUUCCCAAUCUAAUCUUUACUCUGGCCUGGUACUCGGCCGCCUGAACGCUGGCCCUCACAUCAGCUGAUAACUGUGGUCAACAUGAGGAAGUGACUGAGAUAACUGCGGGAUUAUUCAGUGCUUAAGUGCAUUAGGUAAGAUGUGUGGAAUCCAUGGUCAUUACCUCAGUCAGGCGCACUUGAGCAAUCCACGCCCAGUGCCACCUUUUUUGGGCAAACGGAUCAUGUCAUCAUUGUGGAAUUGGAAAAAACAGCAUUAAACAUCGACAUGUGCUUUGUAAGGGGGUUUUGACCUUUGGCAAUUGUUGAGCUUUGGUUGCUGUAGAGUGAGAAGAAAACAAUCUGAAUCACUGUGUUAUUAUGCCUUUCCUUAUUAAUGAAUAAACUGGGACAGGCUGCACAACGAACAAGAAUGUAACAUCCAAAGUUACCUGUGGUGUGGUUCUGGCACAGGAUUCUGGAAUGUUCAGUAUGCACCUGAAAUGUCAUCAAUCAAAGUAUUUACAUUAAAUCACACAAUGGGAUCCAUAUUAAAACAGAGACUUUUGUUGGGUUGACUUGUCUGGUGGUAGAUUACGGGCAAGCUUCCAAUCUCACAUAGAGCAGCCUUUGAGAGUGGAAAAACUUAAGAUGGUAUCUCGAGCCAAGGCAUCCUCAUCAGAGGCAUCAGAGAACCGCACACUGUGUGUGGUACUCAUUCCCUCUUUGACUCAGCACUCUGUGAAAUUUAUUUGAAUCGGGUGAUAACUGUAGCCUUUGACUUAUGUUGUACCCCGAGGGAAAGCCCAAAGUCUGAUGGGUAUCUAGUCCGGCAGAGGUCCAGCUCUCUGUUCUUUAAUGUUGUGCUGUCCUUGGGUCACUC